UACUUCAUUCUUCCCCAGCCCGAUUCUCUCCCUGUGUUCAUUCUCUCGAGGUUUGUGCUGGCCGUGCCGUCGCCACUGAGGGAAUCCGGUGAGUCUUUCAAUCAUCUCUCUCUCUCUCUCUCUUCCAAUCACACCCUUUCUCAACUAAACUAACCCACGGCGUGAAGGUCCAAGGCUCGAAGGACAUGGUGAUGGGUCUCGAUGAUAUUCGAAGGCCAUAUCUACAAUGCCAUGGCAAAUCACCAUGCCGGUGGGUCUCAAAACUCCAAGGCCAGAGACCAAAGGUUCUCAAAAGCCAUGGUCGUGGAUCUUAAGGCUUUAACCCAGUGUUAGAUGAUUUAAUGAAGCUUUAGACAUCAUGGCCCUGAAAGAAGACCCGCGACCAGCCGUUCCUCUCAUUUCAGCUCCAAUCUCGUCUAUCGUUUACAACGUGGGUUUCCAGUUGCGGACCCAGCCGUGGCUCUUGAGCUUUUAUUGUUUUACAAUUUUUUUUGUAAAUAAAUGUAAUUCUUUUGGUUUUCCUUUCUAUAGGACUAAUGGAAUUGACGGAAAGGGGGGGUAUUAAUGGGUCAAAAUCUCUCCGUGGUUUCUCUUAAAGAAUUAAAAAAAAUUUGUUUCUUGAGAUGAGAUAUGACUGAGAGACAGAUGUGGAGUGUUAGGUUGAAACCCAUAAGCUAAAAUGGUCAAGAACGAGCUUUCUAGCACCAUGGAGAACCUAAAGGUUUGCUUAUUUUUAGGCAUUCGUGCUUCCUUUUGCGCUGAAAAUGGGUUUGCUUAUCACCUCACCUCCUUAGUUAUAAGGGACUGCUGUUUCUAGGAAAAAGAAAGAAAUUGCCAGUAGCCCACCAAGUGUUCAAGUAAAUUCAACAGAUAUAUAUAUCUCUCAUGUCUGCAUUUUUUAUUGCAAGAGCAAUUUUUAGUUUCUGUCUACUACUGAUUCGGCUUAUUAUUUUAAAAGGUUUGGGCUAGUCUAUUGCUGCACUGAUGGUCCUUGAUAUCCUCCUGGAUUCUGUAGACAACCUAUUAAGCAAUUUUAUAAGUGGUUGUUAUUUAUAGAUGCAUUAGUUACGAUGUGUAGUUA